UCUGGAGACCCCGGGGAAGCAGCCACAGCAAACUGGACCUUGCACUUGGCAGAGAGCCUCAGGGAGGCUUAGGGGCUUCCAGCCUCCUUUCAGUGGUCCUGCCCCUGCCCAGGUGAGUCAAGGUUGGUCGGGGGUGAGACCCGGCCAGUGGGCUGUCCAGCGGCUGUAGGUUUCUUGAAGAGUCAAAAUCCUGUCAGUCCUCCAGAUGUACGGAAGGGGACUGUCAAGCUUUCCUCUCACCCGUUCACUCCUCCUGGGAGUGGCCAUGGCCCAGGGCCUGUCAACUGGUGACCUUCCUCUGGGGGAGCCAGGACUCCUCCUUAAACCAUCCACACCUCCUUGGGUGCUGUUUCCAGGCAGGAAACGUGGAAGGUGUUGGCCAACACCCCCUCCCGUUUUGUAUAGAAAAUGUAGAAUUUAGGAUUUUUGAGGUUUGGCCUGCAGUGCCAAGGUGUGUGGCCAUGUGGAACAGUGAAGCUGGAGGACACUGAGGGAAGGGCACAGCUGCCACGGGCUGCCUCCCUCACCCCAUAAACAAUGCCCUAUGUCCUCCCCUCGCCCCCACCUUCAGACUUGGUGGGUACCGUAUCCUGAUGGGAGGGCGUGGAUGUGGAGGGGAGGUUGUGGGAAGUUACCAGAACUUGGCAGCAGUUUCCCUGUCUCUCUGGCAGCCUGAAACAAAGCCCCAGGGCAGACCUGGCUCAGCUGUAGACACCGGCUCUGGCUACAGAGACCGUGACCUAAUUUCCAGUUUUCUAACUGGCCCUGCUAUGGAGGCGAGGUAUCCCAAGGCUCUGUAGUGGCCGGGAUCUGGUAGGCACUCAAGAAACAUGUGUUGACCGAAUGCAUGUGUGAAUGCCCUCGAAGCCAAGGAAUAGGCUGGCCACCCUGCGGAGGGACAGACUCCAGGUCUCCGUCCGGCUGCGGCUGCCUCCCGUGCUGUGUCCAGCUGGACACAGGCUGGUCUCCUCUUCCUCCAGCCCCACCCGGGACCGAGCAAGCAGCCUCUGGGGAUCCUUCUUCUCAGCCUCGGCAGGGUCCGUUCCCAGCUCCAGGGCAUCCUUGGAAAGCAUGCACUUGGUACCUCGCUCCUGGCAGCCAAGAAGUGGAAGAGCCCAGCUCCAGCUGCUGGCUCCUCGAGGCCUUUGUCCACCUCAUCUGCCCAGCAAUGGUCUCUGUCCCAGCCAGGCUGCCUCUGGGGAACCUCUCAGAAACUUCUCAGGAGAGGCCCAGCCUCAGAGCGGGUGUGACAAGGUCUUGCUCCGGCCUCCUGCUCAGCGAUCAUCUGUAUCUUCCUUCUGAGCAUGGUCACACUGCCUCCUCCCGACGGGGGGAAGGACAGAGGGGUUUCCCCACUUACGCCUGUCCAUUUUGGGGAGGGCUUUUGAUGGUCAGGCUGGGCCCUCCACACCCUGGGAGCGUGGAUCAGGGACCCUGGAGCUCUCCUACAUCCUGCGCCAUCCUGAGGGUUCCCAACAGGCUUCCCCGCCUUAGCAGAUCCAAACCCCUCUCCUUCACCCCACCUCGUCCCACCUGCCUUGGUGAAUGGCUCCCCUAACUGCCUAGCGGCUCAGCUCUAGAACCCUGGAGUAGUUCUUGCUGCCUCUCUCUCACACCCACACCGUCUCAAGAAAUUCUGUCGGCUCUGACUUUAAAGAAUAACCAGAAGCCAGAAACUUCUUCCCAUCCCCACCGCCCUGCCCUGGUCAGAGCCACCAUCGAGUCUUGUGUGGAGGGUAGCUGUGGCCCCCUAAAUGGUCUCCCUGAUGACACCCUUGCCCCUGCCAGUUUAUUGUUUACCAGCAGCCCGAGGGGUCCUGCUAAAACCAUAGUCGGUCAUGUCCCUUCUCAGCUCACAGCCCUGCCAGGUCCCUCCGCAGCCCAUAGUCCCACACAAUCUGCUCCGCUGCUACUCUCUGAACUCCUCCUUUGUUCUACCCUCCCGCUCCCGCCCGCCAGCCACACUGGCUAUCCCUUGAAAUCAACUAGUAUGCUCCUGCCUCAGGGCCUUUGCUCUUGUUGUGUCCUCAGCCUGGAAUGCUCUUCCUCUAGAUAGCUGCAUGGCUCACUCCUUCCUUCAGGUCUCUGCUCAGAUGUCACCUCCUCAGACAGAAUUUUCUCGACCACCCUCUGUCGAUGUUCCCCACCCCAUCCCUCUCAAGCCUCUUGAGAGGUUGGUGCUCUUGAGAACAUCAUGCUUAAAGCAGGCUGGGGCGCUUCUCCUGUGGGCUGGGCAUCUGGUUGGGAGGUUUUCAAGUGUUAAUUCAGCCUCAUAACAGCAGCACGAGGCAGCUCUCACGAUCACGUUUCCAGACAAGGAAACUGGGGCUGAGAGAGACUAACAGACGUUUUUAAGCUUUAUUGAGACAUAAGUCACAUACUAUAAAAUCCACCUAUUUAAAAUAUCAAUGUUUUUUAGUAUAGUCACAGAGUUGUGCAACCCUCACCACAAUCAAUUUUGGAAGGUUUCCAUUACCCCAGAAGAGUAUCCGUUAGCAGUUGCUCCCCACUCUACCGUCAAUCUGCCUUCUGUCUCUCAGGAUUGGCUUGUGCUUCACAUUUCUUGGAAACGGGAUUGUGCAAUAUGUGGUAUUGUGUGACUGGCUUAUUUUGUGCUAGAUUUUACAACUCCGCGAUGUUAUUAAAUAACCAAUGGUUAAACUACACACUUUCAAAUGUGUUAGAAAGGAACAACAGUAGAUAUUUGUUAGACAGUCCGUGAGACAGGAUGAUGGGGAAGAAGAAAGACGGUGGGUCUGGAAGAGAUGUCUGUACAUCCACGUUCACAGCAUCCUUAUUCACGACAGCUCAAACGCAGGCACAGCCCAAGCAUCCUUGGAUGGAUGAGAGGGUGAGCAAAUGUGGUCUAUACAUGCAAUGGAAUAUUAUUCAGUCUUAAAAAGUAAGGACAUUCUGACACAUGGGACAAGGUGAAUGAACCUUGAGGACAGUAUGCUAAGUGAAAUAAGCCAAUCAAAAAAGAAAAAAUACAGUAUGAUUUCACUUAUCUGAGGUACCCCGAGAAGUCAAAUUCAUAGAGACAGAAAGUAGACUGGUGGUUGCUGGGGGCUGAGGCGGGGGACAAGGAGAGUUAUUGCUUGGUGGGGACAGAGUUUCAGUUUUGCAAGAUGAAGCGUUCUGGAGGUGGGCGGUGCUGCUGGUUGCACAUUAUGAAUGUAUUUGAUACCACUGAACUGUACAGUUAAAAAUGGUUACAAUGGUAAAUUUUAUGUUAUGUGUAUUUUACCACAAUAAAAAAAUUGGGAAAAAGAAAAGAAAGGCCCUGGGCUAGGAGUCACAGGGCUUGAGUUCUUGUCCUGAUUCUGCCUUUCACUGUGUGACUGUGUGCAAGACAGCAACCUCUCUGGGGAUGCUAACAGGUUUGUCCAAGUCACACAGCGACUGAGGGAAAGUGACUACAGUGGCCGCGCUUCAGGGCAACUCCCAGGGCGGGCCUUCAGCAGAGGAGUCUGUCCCAGCCGUGGCCCUGGGUUCCUGCUUGCCAUCCGCCCCAGCGUCUCUCUGGUCUCCCCGGCCAGCUCCUCAGGAGCCGAGGGGAACCCCUGGAGCAUUGACUGGAUUCCCAGAAGACCCGUGUUCAAAUUUCAGUUCGCUCCUCCCCAGCUGCAUGCCUACCUCCGUGAAGCUCAGUCCCUUCCUCUGUAAAAUGGGACAACACACACACCCACAGCCCGGGGCUCUGAAAACCACACGUGAUAAAGCACAUGGCCGGCACGCGAUGAGUGCCUGGCAAACCAUCUGCGUCCUCUCCCGGGGAAGAAAGCUUUUGCCGAAUGCGGAUGGGAGGGCAGGAGGAGGCGCAAGUUCUGAAGCUCAGGCCGUUCUUUCCACCUGGCUCUCUCUUGGGGAUCUGGAGCCACAGCCCCUCCCCCAUUCUGUGUUCAGCCCUGAGGCUGCCAGGUGGUGUUGGGGACAGGGCACCUGUCCCCACAUUUGUGGGGCGGCAAGGCAGAAACAAACUGCUUGUUUAUUCUCCCCGCCUGGGACACUGCGGUCUCCUUGCUGGAGCAUCUAUCUCUGUGGAAAUCUUGGCUGAGAUUUAUCGUCCUUUUCCUGCUGGCUGCAGACUGUGUGAAGGUAAGAAACGUCCUUUUUGAGGCAAUAAAAUAUAAAAUGGAACCCAAUUUCUCUCCAGGGUAAGAAUCAUUAUGUUUGACAAUGGCUGUAAAGUGUGCGGCAGUGAGGGGCAGGGUUGGCUCCCGCGGGCCUGGGUGGAGGAGGGGGACGGGAGCCACCCCUGCGAGAUGGAGUGACUGCGCAGUCACCAAAGUGGGCCUGGAAGGAGCCAGGAACCAGAGACGCCACCCACAGCCCAUCUGAUGCCCCAGUACGCUUGAGGUCCCCAUCCCUGGAGGUCCCCACAUGGAUUCACGCACAUUUAUCAAGUACCUACGCGAGGCAGCGAGAGGUUAGCAGGCCGCCCUGCUUGCUAAACCCGGCACUUUGGAGAGAGAGAAUAAACAUGUGCUCAACUAAAUUAAAUUGAAUUGAGCAUUCAGGAGUUUGGGUCUUACGCAGGGGUGUGGCGAACCCAAGUUUUAAGAGAUGUUAUGUGUGUGUGUUUCCAUCCUUUCGAGAUCGAAUUUACAAAGAGCUUAAGUCUUUUCUUUUUUUUAAAGA